GACGAACGCUGGCGGCGUGCUUAACACAUGCAAGUCGAACGGAAAGGCCCUGCUUUUGUGGGGUGCUCGAGUGGCGAAGGGGUGAGUAACACGUGAGUAACCUGCCCUUGACGUUGGGAUAACUUCAGGAAACUGGGGCUAAUACCGGCUAGGAGCGCCUGCUGCAGGGUGGGGGUCGGAAAGUUUCGGCGGAUGGGGAUGGACGCGGGGCUUAUCAGCUUGUUGGGGGGGUAGUGGCUUACCCAGGCUUUGACGGGUAGCCGGCCUGGGAGGGUGGCCGGCCACAUUGGGACUGAGAUACGGCGCAGAGUCCUACGGGAGGCAGCAGGGGGGAAUAUUGCACAAUGGGGCGAAGCCUGAUGCGGAAGCGCCGCGUGCGGGAUGCCGGCCUUCGGGUUGUGAACCGCUUUCGCCUGUGACGAAGCGUGAGUGACGGUAAUGGGUAAAGAAGCACCGGCUAACUACGUG
rnacentral:rRNA from 1 species